rnacentral:rRNA from 1 species
UACAGAGGUCUCAAGCGUUGUUCGGAUUCAUUGGGCGUAAAGGGUGUGUAGGUGGCGCGCUAAGUCGGGUGUGAAAUUUCGGAGCUUAACUCCGAAACUGCAUUCGAUACUGGCGUGCUUGAGGACUGGAGAGGAGACUGGAAUUCAUGGUGUAGCAGUGAAAUGCGUAGAUAUUCGCAAGAACACCAGUGGCGAAGGCGGCUCACUGGCCCGGUACUGACGCUGAGGUGCGAAAGCGUGGGGAGCAAACAGG